rnacentral:sRNA from 1 species
AUAUAUUAAUUUUAAAAAAUGAAUUGUCUCCGCGGUGAAUCUAGUGUUGAAUAUAAUUGUUAUAUUCUGCAUUACUGAAAUAAU